rnacentral:rRNA from 1 species
UACGGAGGGAGCUAGCGUUGUUCGGAAUUACUGGGCGUAAAGCGCACGUAGGCGGCUUUGUAAGUUAGAGGUGAUAGCCUGGAGCUCAACUCCAGAAUUGCCUUUAAGACUGCAUCGCUUGAAUCCAGGAGAGGUGAGUGGAAUUCCGAGUGUAGAGGCGAAAUUCGUAGAUAUUCGGAAGAACGCCAGUGGCGAAGGCGUCUCACUGGACUGGUAUUGACGCUGAGGUGCGAAAGCGUGGGGAGCAAACAGGAUUAAUACCCCCUGG